UAAUAAUACCCUAAACCUACAUCCCGACACUCAGAGAUCCGCCGUUUUCCAAAGGAGGAGCUCCUUUUUCUUUAUUUGAAAAAGCCAUCAAACCAAAAAAAAAUUCCACAUUCCCCCAUCAUCUUGAAUGAGGACCUAAUCUGUAGAAAGCAAUGGCCAGACGCCCAUGAGCUUCCCUAUUUUGAGAUCUCUAAGCAAAAUUCCAUACUCCCCAAAUAGGAGUAGUAUUCUGCUGCAAUAUUCACCCACAACGCAUACCAAAUAGGAUGAAGAAGCUCCAAAUCGCUACUGUCAUAUGAAUCCGUUGAUUUCAUUGUUUUGAUUUAACUCGAAAUUUUCGGCGAUUUCCGAGUUCAUCGAAUGUCGGAAUCUGAGGCUUUGGACAGAAAUCAAGAGAACAUUAGCGAGGUCUCCGGUUUGAGUUCGUCAAGGGUGUUCGGAGAAGAUUUUCAGUCCAUGUCGUGUUCGCUUUAUUCUGCUUUUGGACAAAUACAUGCCUAAUGUACGUCAAAUUGGAGUCUUCAUCUAAUAAAAGGUUUUUAUUUAUUUAUAGAAACAUAAGCAAAUUAAAAAAAACUAGAUUUUUAAUGAAUUUAGUCGAGAUAGAAUAAAUAAAAAGUUUCAUGUACAUAUAAAAUUAAUUUUAUUUUAUUGUUGAAAUCACAAAAGAUAGUACUCUACUUAUUAGAAUUAGAGUUUAAAUGAAUUUUAUUUUUUAUCAUCGAUUUCCUUUAGAUAAUAGAAAAGAAAAAAA
rnacentral:lncRNA from 1 species